AACGGACAUUUUGCCGAACGGACAACUUGCCGAAAAUAGAGAUAUCUUCUGAACUUUAAAGGUUCGCUUACACGGUCAAAGUUUCUGUGAUUAAAUUAAGUCAUUGUCGAUUUUGAUGACAGAAACUUUGAUAGUGUAGUAUAGUUUCGUUUUAUAUUCUUUCAAGUUUUUGAUAACAUCUCUAUUUUCGGCAAGUUGUCCUUUCGGCAAACUGUCCGUUCC
rnacentral:miRNA from 1 species